rnacentral:rRNA from 1 species
GAUGAACGCUGGCGGCGUGCCUAAUACAUGCAAGUCGAGCGAACUGAUUAGAAGCUUGCUUCUAUGACGUUAGCGGCGGACGGGUGAGUAACACGUGGGCAACCUGCCUGUAAGACUGGGAUAACUUCGGGAAACCGAAGCUAAUACCGGAUAGGAUCUUCUCCUUCAUGGGAGAUGAUUGAAAGAUGGUUUCGGCUAUCACUUACAGAUGGGCCCGCGGUGCAUUAGCUAGUUGGUGAGGUAACGGCUCACCAAGGCAACGAUGCAUAGCCGACCUGAGAGGGUGAUCGGCCACACUGGGACUGAGACACGGCCCAGACUCCUACGGGAGGCAGCAGUAGGGAAUCUUCCGCAAUGGACGAAAGUCUGACGGAGCAACGCCGCGUGAGUGAUGAAGGCUUUCGGGUCGUAAAACUCUGUUGUUAGGGAAGAACAAGUACGAGAGUAACUGCUCGUACCUUGACGGUACCUAACCAGAAAGCCACGGCUAACUACGUGCCAGCAGCCGCAGUAA